rnacentral:tRNA from 1 species
GGUCUGGUGGUCUAGUGGUAUGAUUCUCGCUUAGGGCAAACCCUGCAGCACAGCUUGCGAGAGGUCCCGGGUUCAAUCCCCGGCCAGACCC